GUAAGAAAAAUCAGAACACACUUAAAGUGAAGAGAGAUUAAAAUAGUAUAUCACUUAUACUAUCAACCAAUAUUGAUUAGACCAGAGAACUCACAGUGUCAACAUUGAUAUAGUGUCAUCUAGUAGCUGAUAAAUGGCAUAAAUUAUGAUGCUAGAAUAACAUGACCAUGCAAAUGUAGCUACUCAGGGUAUCAACUGAUAUAGGGUUGCAGCUUAUGAUUAUAUAACCAUGUAACGAUGCGAAUACAAAGAGAUGUGAAGCCUCGAACUGUGAAAGAAGAAAUAAAGCAUUGAAAUAGUCUAAACGGGGGUAAAGCUAAUGACAAGAUAAUUUCUUCUGAGCAUGUGUUGUAUACAAAAAAAACAAAAAAUUGAUACACACAUCUACCUUACAAAUACAAAUCCAUUCCUACCUUCAUUUUUUUCUUUUUCCAUCAUCAAAUUUAUAUUAAUUGCCUUCAUGAAUGGUGGUUCACCAGGAGCAGGACUUCUGUAGAAUGUGCCUGCCAUGGGGCAUUUAAGUGGGGAAAGAAAUAAGCUUGAUUUCUUCACAACUUGUGAGCCUAGAAUGAAGAAAAGAAACUCGCAAAAAGUCUCAUCCCAACUCAAAUAGAAAAGUAAGCAAGAAAUGGAAAGCUAUUAGAGAGCUUGAGUUGUAGCAUAAUAUCUGACCCAAAUAGAGCAAGGGCAGCUACUUCUCGAUAUCAUGCCAACAACUAACAAGCCAUGUUUACACAACCAAAUUUGUAAUGGCAAAAAUAAAUUUAUCGGACCUCAAAAGUAUUUUAAUAAGGGAAGAAUCUAUCUCCCACAGGGGCUGCAAUUUAUGGCCAUUUAAUCAGGUAAUUGUUAACUUGCGGUAGUCCUUAUUUUUUGUUGUUUACGGAUGAUGCCUAUCAAUAAAAUUUCUAUUUGUUGCAGUAAAAGGGAAAUUUAUGUACUAGCAUAUAUAGCUAAGCAUUAUACAUAUCGUUCCAGCAAAAGGGAAAUUAGAAAUUUUCGUUCACUUACCCAAAAUUUCUUAAAACCGAAGGAAGACUUAAAAGCAAACACUCAAAUCUACCAAACUAGUUCUUUAUAUUUAGCUUUUGAGUGAGAAACACGGAUUGAAUAUAAUCCUAAAUCCUAAUCCCAUUUUUUAUUCCCAUUCAAUAUUUAAAAGGAACUAGAAUAUAUUAGCAAUAAAUCCUAUUCCCAGAUCCCAUUCAAUAUAAUCUUAAUCCUAUUCAAUAUUUGA
rnacentral:lncRNA from 1 species